UGGUGUAGCUCAGUCGGUAGAGCAGCUGAUUCGUAAUCAGCAGGUCGGGAGUUCGAGUCUCCCCACC
rnacentral:tRNA from 1 species